rnacentral:rRNA from 1 species
GACGAACGCUGGCGGCGUGCUUAACACAUGCAAGUCGAACGGAAAGGCCCUGCUUUUGUGGGGUGCUCGAGUGGCGAACGGGUGAGUAACACAUGAGUAACCUGCCCUUGACUUUGGGAUAACUUCAGGAAACUGGGGCUACUACCGGAUAGGAGCUCCUGCUGCAUGGAGGGGGUUGGAAAGUUUCGGCGGUUGGGGAUGGACUCUCGGCUUAUCAGCUUGUUGGUGGGGUAGUGGCUUACCACGGCUUUGACGGGUAGCCGGCCUGAGAGGGUGACCGGGCACAUUGGGACUGAGAUACGGCCCAGACUCCUACGGGAGGCAGCAGUGGGGAAUAUUGCACAAUGGGCGGAAGCCUGAUGCAGCAACGCCGCGUGCGGGAUGACGGCCUUCGGGGUGUAAACCGCUUUCGCCUGUGACGAAGCGUGAGUGACGGUAAUGGGUAAAGAAGCACCGGCUAACUACGUG